GCAGAAUUUGAACUCAGAACGUGAAAAAAGACGAUAUACCGAAUGAGAAGUUCGUGUUUUUAGUUUUAACAAGAUGAUUACGUUGAACAGCUAUAGAAUUUGAAUACGACUUCAAGUGACGGCAUCCCAGCAACUGACUCUACACGCAAACUGCUACAUGUAGCUGAAACAUAGAGGACUUGGAAAGUAACUUUUACAAAAUGAUUUGCUGCAGAUUGAAGUAGAUAAUCGACGAUUAGCGCAAGCGUGGAAAGCAUAAUAUGGAAAGCUUCAAAGAACACACGUGACAGAAUUAAUAUAAAUAUCGCUUGCAAAAUAUAGUUAUGAAACAACUGCAUGGAUUGCAUCAUUCUCCGAUACAUGUUGUGAGAAAAAUUAAA
rnacentral:lncRNA from 1 species